rnacentral:rRNA from 1 species
GACGAACGCUGGCGGCGUGCUUAACACAUGCCAGUCGAACGGAAAGGCCCUGCUUUUGUGGGGUGCUCGAGUGGCGAACGGGUGAGUAACACGUGAGUAACCUGCCCUUGACUUUGGGAUAACUUCAGGAAACUGGGGCUAAUACCGGAUAGGAGCUCCUGCUGCAUGGUGGGGGUUGGAAAGUUUCGGCGGUUGGGGAUGGACUCGCGGCUUAUCAGCUUGUUGGUGGGGUAGUGGCUUACCAAGGCUUUGACGGGUAGCCGGCCUGAGAGGGUGACCGGCCACAAUGGGACUGAGAUACGGCGCAGACGCCUACGGGAGGCAGCAGUGGGGAAUAUUGCACAAUGGGCGGAAGCCUGAUGCAGCAACGCCGCGUGCGGGAUGACGGCCUUCGGGUUGUAAACCGCUUUCGCCUGUGACGAAGCGUGAGUGACGGUAAUGGGUAAAGAAGCACCGGCUAACUACGUG